ACUAAAGUAGCAAAGAGGCAAUGCUAGAAAUCUAAGUUUUCUCUACCGAAGGUUCAAAUCCUUUUUUUAGUU
rnacentral:tRNA from 1 species